rnacentral:rRNA from 1 species
AACGAACGCUGGCGGCAUGCCUAACACAUGCAAGUCGAACGAAGGCUUCGGCCUUAGUGGCGCACGGGUGCGUAACGCGUGGGAAUCUGCCCUUUGGUUCGGAAUAACAGCUGGAAACGGCUGCUAAUACCGGAUGAUGACGAAAGUCCAAAGAUUUAUCGCCAGAGGAUGAGCCCGCGUUGGAUUAGGUAGUUGGUGGGGUAAAGGCCUACCAAGCCGACGAUCCAUAGCCGGUCUGAGAGGAUGAUCAGCCACACUGGGACUGAGACACGGCCCAGACUCCUACGGGAAGCAGCAGUGGGGAAUAUUGGACAAUGGGCGCAAGCCUGAUCCAGCAAUGCCGCGUGAGUGAUGAAGGCCCUAGGGUUGUAAAGCUCUUUUACCCGGGAAGAUAAUGACUGUACCGGGAGAAUAAGCCCCGGCUAACUCCGUG